UUAAAUUGAAGAGUUUGAUCAUGGCUCAGAUUGAACGCUGGCGGCAGGCCUAACACAUGCAAGUCGAACGGUAACAGGAAGCAGCUUGCUGCUUUGCUGACGAGUGGCGGACGGGGGAGGAAUGUCUGGGAAACUGCCUGAGGGGGGGGGGAGAUGACUGGAAACGGGGGGUAAUA
rnacentral:rRNA from 1 species